GAGUUUGAUCGUGGCUCAGGAUGAACGCUGGCGGCGUGCCUAAUACAUGCAAGUCGAGCGAACGGACGAGAAGCUUGCUUCUCUGAUGUUAGCGGCGGACGGGUGAGUAACACGUGGAUAACCUACCUAUAAGACUGGGAUAACUUCGGGAAACCGGAGCUAAUACCGGAUAAUAUUUUGAACCGCAUGGUUCAAAAGUGAAAGACGGUCUCGCUGUCACUUAUAGAUGGAUCCGCGCUGCAUUAGCUAGUUGGUAAGGUAACGGCUUACCAAGGCAACGAUGCAUAGCCGACCUGAGAGGGUGAUCGGCCACACUGGAACUGAGACACGGUCCAGACUCCUACGGGAGGCAGCAGUAGGGAAUCUUCCGCAAUGGGCGAAAGCCUGACGGAGCAACGCCGCGUGAGUGAUGAAGGUCUUCGGAUCGUAAAACUCUGUUAUUAGGGAAGAACAUAUGUGUAAGUAACUGUGCACAUCUUGACGGUACCUAAUCAGAAAGCCACGGCUAACUACGUCG
rnacentral:rRNA from 1 species